rnacentral:tRNA from 1 species
UGCGGGAUCGUCCAGCGGCAGGACGCGAUCCUCUGAAGAUCGAGACGCUGGUUCGAAUCCAGCUCCCGCAA